rnacentral:tRNA from 1 species
GCCUGGGUGGCUCAGUCAAUUAAGCAUCUGACUAUGACUCCGGUCAUGGAUCUCAUGGUUUGUGGGUUCAAGCCCCACUUCGGGCU